rnacentral:lncRNA from 1 species
UUGUCUACCUCUGUUAUCCAAAUUUUGCGAUUACGUUUUAGGAUAAAACACGGAUUAUGCAAAAACAGAGUCUUUACUCUUUAGCCAUAUUCCCCAACUCUCUCUCUGUUCUGAUUUUGAGAUAGGCAUUUCAACAAACACCUUAUGUGCAUCAUCAAAUCAAAGCACUUUGUGAAAGAACUUAAACCAAAUUGAUUCAAAGUACAACAAUUUCUCAACAAUUCCAAAAGCAAACUAUACUAAACAACACAAAAAGGACUCAUAAAUUCCGAAAAAUCACAUUUUUNNN